AGCGAACGCUGGCGGCAGGCCUAACACAUGCAAGUCGAACGAACCUUUCGGGGUUAGUGGCGGACGGGUGAGUAACACGUGGGAACGUGCCUUUAGGUUCGGAAUAACUCAGGGAAACUUGUGCUAAUACCGAAUGUGCCCUUCGGGGGAAAGAUUUGUCGCCUUUGGAUCGGCGGGCGACUGUUUAGGUAGUUGGGUGUGGUAAUGGCACAUCAAGGCGACGAUCAGUAGCUGGUCUGUACGGAUGAUCAGCCACAUUGGGACUGAGACACGGCCCAAACUCCGACGCAAGGGAGCAGUAGGGAAUCUUGCGCGAUGGGCGAAAGCCUGACGCAGCCAUGCCGCGUGAAUGAUGAAGGUCUUAGGAUUGUAAAAUUCUUUCACCGGGGACGAUAAUGACGGUACCCGGUGAAGAAGCCCCGGCUAACUACGUG
rnacentral:rRNA from 1 species